UUCUAAAUUGAUUGAUAAUAUUGUGAUUUAAACUCUUAUGCAAAGCCCUGGCCAUCGUCCAAACUUCCCUGUUCGGCCACUCCAUGCCUCCCACCCGAUGGGAGAAACAAAGGAAAAGUCGGGGAAGCCUCCCUCCAGAUUGAGACUCUGAGGAAGGCAAAAAUAGAGGAAAAGUCGAGGGAAAUCAUUGGAAAAUUCAAUGAAAACAAAAGAAAGACACAAAAAAAUUGAAAGAUGCAGAUACAAAGUGAACGAAACAAGACUAGUCGUAAUAUACAAAAGAUGGGACACUCUGCAGGAUCGAGAAGCUUUGCACAGAUCAAAGCAAGAAUGAUUAGAAGUGAUGUUGUCUUGAAAGGCUAUAAGUUUCCUCACAAACCUGUUGCACGAGGAAUUUUACUAAGUAAAGAUCCAUUCACCAUGGUAGGAAAGGAUGUACUUGGAUGUUAAUUUUGAGAAGUACAAGUUCAUAUGGCAUGUGUACCUUGAAAGCCUUUAACAGGACCAUGAGAUCGACUAAAAAGAAUUAUGAAUGCAGUCGGAUACUUGAUUGCCUAGUCUUCAACUUAGGUGGCAGUUGCUAAAGAUUAGUAGAAGAAAUCAUUUGCAAUUACCAAGCAUGGACAUUGAGCAUAAAUAAAUUUUGUUUGUUUCAAUAAGGAACUUCUUCUGUAUGGUUUUUUUUUGGUGAACCUUCAGUAUGGUUGUUAUGACUACGUUUGUUCAUGUAUGUUAUUUAGCAUGUAAACAAACCUCCUUUGUUUCAGUUAAUAAAUUCAGCUUUUGUUAUAUA